rnacentral:rRNA from 2 species
UUUCGGGGUACACGAGCGGCGAACGGGUGAGUAACACGUGGGUGAUCUGCCCUGCACUUCGGGAUAAGCCUGGGAAACUGGGUCUAAUACCGGAUAUGACCUCCUAUCGCAUGGUGGGUGGUGGAAAGAUUUAUCGGUGCAGGAUGGGCCCGCGGCCUAUCAGCUUGUUGGUGGGGUAAUGGCCUACCAAGGCGACGACGGGUAGCCGACCUGAGAGGGUGACCGGCCACACUGGGACUGAGACACGGCCCAGACUCCUACGGGAGGCAGCAGUGGGGAAUAUUGCACAAUGGGCGAAAGCCUGAUGCAGCGACGCCGCGUGAGGGAUGACGGCCUUCGGGUUGUAAACCUCUUUCAGCAGGGACGAAGCGCAAGUGACGGUACCUGCAGAAGAAGCACCGGCUAACUACGUGCCAGCAGCCGCGGUAAUACGUAGGGUGCAAGCGUUGUCCGGAAUUACUGGGCGUAAAGAGUUCGUAGGCGGUUUGUCGCGUCGUUUGUGAAAACCAGCAGCUCAACUGCUGGCUUGCAGGCGAUACGGGCAGACUUGAGUACUGCA